rnacentral:rRNA from 1 species
GCGGCGUGCCUAAUCAUGCAAGUAGACGCUGAAGUAGGAGCUGUUCUCUGGAUGAGUUGCGAACGGUGAGUACCGCGUAGGUAACCUGCCUGGUAGCGGGGGAUCAUCUAUUGGAGUCGAUAGCCUAAUCCGCAUAAUAUUAUUAUUGCAUGAUAGUCGAUUAAAAGGUGCAAUUGCAUCAUACCAGAUGGACCUGCGUUGUAUUAGCUAGUUGCGUGGCGGUAACGGCUCACCAAGGCGUACGAUGACAUAGCCGACCUGAGAGGGUGAUCGGCCACACUGCGGACUGAGACACGGCCCAGACUCCUACGGGAGGCAGCAGUAGGGAAUCUUCGGCAAUGGACGGAAGUCUGACCGAGCAUACGCCGCGUGAAUGAAGAAGGUUUUCGGAUCGUAAAGCUCUGUUGUAAGAGAAGAACGAGUGUGAGAGUGGAAAGUUCACACUGUGACGGGUAUCUUACCAGAAAGCGCGGCUA